UACGUAGGGAGCAAGCGUUGUCCGGAAUUAUUGGGCGUAAAGAGCUCGUAGGCGGUCUGUUGCGUCUGCUGUGAAAACCCGGGGCUUAACCCCUGGCUUGCAGUGGAUACGGACAGACUAGAGGUAGGUAGGGGAGAAUGGAAUUCCCGGUGUAGCGGUGAAAUGCGCAGAUAUCGGGAGGAACACCGGUGGCGAAGGCGGUUCUCUGGGCCUUACCUGACGCUGAGGAGCGAAAGCGUGGGGAGCGAACAGG
rnacentral:rRNA from 1 species